AUUUUACAUUUUUUAAAAUGGUCAUAAUUUCAUUUAUUGUCUCAAUUCAUUAUUGUUGAAAUGGAUUAAAAAUGUAUUGUUCUUUAUGUUUAUUUUUGAUAGAGUCACGUGUAGGGUUCAGAGGUCGCAGCCGUGGCAUUUUAAGUGAGGCAGUGCAGUAACAGAGAGCACCAGCAUGGCUACAGGGCGGAGCGCCAACAUAGUUUAAAGAAAGUAUACACGGCCUUAAAAUAAUAAUUCUGCACGGUCCAAGAGGCGGUCACGGUAACGAUUGUUUUAAAUUUAUUUGUUUUUGUAUGUUUUAAUGUGUGUGCCCUUGAAUAGACAGUUUGGUAUGUUUUUCUAUGUUACUGUGCUAGCUUGUUGGGACCUGUCUAAAUGCUGGACAUUUAUUAAGAGACUUUCAAGAAUAAGAUAUUUACAUUUUCAAAUGCUGCUUAUGUAUUUUAAUUUCUAGUUUUCACGGUGUCUGAGGAGGAUGGAGAGUUGGGAAUCAAACUUUAAAAAAGACAUUGUAACAGUAAAGAUAUAUAAUUCAAUUCAGCAAUACUACAGCCUCCCCUCCCCCACCCAGCAUAUAAACAUUAUGAAGACCACAUUGAUUAUGAAGACUUGGAAGUACUUAAAGUUUAUUUUUCGAAAAAAGCGAUACCUACAAGGGAGCGACCGUAUCUUGUCUCGAUGGUGAAGACGCACAUGAAAAGACGCCUUGGUGGCACAGCUUGUUUUCAUGCUGCAUGUGUUCUUCCCCAGACCCCAUUAUAGAGCCAUCACCAUAUUCAGUGCCUUUCAGACCUAAAAUAACACCAGAAGUAAAGGAGGUGCCAAGGAACAACCUUCAUUCCUCCCGCACCCCCCAGACAGGCAGAAAAAUAAACAACUCAGAAAACCUGCUCAAACAGACCAAUCCAACCAGGCCUUUUGAUUCUGCACUCAGGAAAAAACAAGAAAAAAUACAAGAACCAGAAGAAAUAAAGGCAGUACCGGGGAACAUCCUUUUCAACGCUCAGGAAGAUAAUAACAUGGAACAGCAUUUUAAAAAAGGUGACAUUUUCAGAGGAGAAAUCUACCAGGCCUUUCUGACAUUUCACGACAGAAGAAAAUGUGACGCCAAGAACUCCAGCUUACAGAGUCUCCUGAAUUUGACUGACUUUAUGAAUGAUAUCAGUUCAUUGAGAAGGAUUGGAGACACGUCCAUGGAGCCAAAAUGCUAA
rnacentral:lncRNA from 1 species